CGAUGUAAGUAUAAGAUAGGUACUGUGAGUAUAAAGUUAUAACUGAUAGAGAGACGACAGUUAGAGUUAUAGCGCGCCUAAGUGUGAUCUGCAAUGAUCAUUAAUCGAGUUUUUAGAAUCGAGGGCUUGAUAGCUGGCGCCCCUAAACACGCACUGUGCUCGGCCUUCGUGCUUAAUCCACUCAACACCUGUGCACCUUAUCGAAGUUAGUAGUCUUUCCUCCUUAGUUGGAGCCGCCGGGGUUGACUUUGUUAGUAGUGUUUCGACGCGAAAGCAUAUGGUCGGCCUUGGCUGGGAUUGACGAACACUUUGACUUCAUCAUACACACUUUAAUUGUCUUGUAGAAUGUAAUGCUCCUUGUGGGCGAAAUGAAAUACAACUUUCAACAACGGAUCUCUUGGCUCUCGCAUCGAUGAAGAACGCAGCGAAAUGCGAUAAGUAAUGUGAAUUGCAGAAUUCAGUGAAUCAUCGAAUCUUUGAACGCACCUUGCGCCCCUUGGUAUUCCGAGGGGCAUGCCUGUUUGAGUGUCAUGUUAACAUCAAACCCCUUGCUUGUAAAGGCUCGGGGCUUGGAUUUGGAGGUUUGUGCCGGCCUGCUUCAUUGUCAGUUGUCGGCUCCUCUUAAAUGGAUUAGCUGGACUUUGGUCUGCGUGUCGGUGUGAUAGUUUAUUCACCAAUCGCUUUCCUAAAUGGGUCUGCUUUCUAAUGGUCUUCGGAACAAAGGUUCUUUUAACAGCCCUUUCUUUGACUUCUUUUGACCUCCAAAAUCAGGGUUAGGACUACCCGCCUGACCUUAAGCCAUUAUUCCAAUUAGCCGGAAGAAAAAGAAAACUUAAACCCAGAGGGGAAAUAAUC
rnacentral:sRNA from 1 species